rnacentral:miRNA from 1 species
UCAGUAACAAAGUUUCAUCCUUGU